UGCAAAUACCGGGCCAGCUGCGGCAGUAUGUCUGGGGGGUCAUGGUGUUUGCGGAGUGAUUGGGUUUAAAUGUGCCGUAGUGGUACUUAUAAUGCAGUGGUGAAAGACUUGCGAGUAACGAUAGAACUGCCAUUGAUACUGUAAGUCUUGAGUAUAUUUGAGGUAGCUGGAAUAAGUAGUGUAGCGGUGAAAUGCAUAGAUAUUACUUAUAACACCAAUUGCGAAGGCAGGUUACCAAGAUAUAACUGACGCUGAGGGACGAAAGCGUGGGGAGCGAACAGGAUUAGAUACCCCAGUAGUC
rnacentral:rRNA from 1 species